ensembl:lncRNA RAMP2-AS1 RAMP2 antisense RNA 1
GCGACGCUCGGGGCCCGCGGCUGGAGGGGGAGUCGCUGCCUCACCCGCGCCUGGCGCCCGCGGCUCCCUCCGCCUCGCCGGCGUUGGCCCACCCUCUCGUAGCUCACCCCGCGAGGCUGGACAGCUCCCGGAACCCCGGAACCGGGAUCUAUUUCGGGGGCUCGGCUGCGUGGCGCCCAGGACUCUCCAGGGUCUCCCAGGAUCGCUCCCCGAAUUCGAGUCGCCCCCUCUCUCUUUCGGGAAUACCAGCUGAUGUCAGUCCGCCAGCCAAAACCAGGGAGGAGAAGCGGGAGCCAGCCCUCUGGAGUCGGGAGAAGGUCUGGGGAGUGGGGUAGAGGGGAAAGCAAAGUCCAAAUACCUUCCCUUCAGACACCUCCUGGGGCCUAGACCCCACAAACCUGUUGUGGGGAGGGCAAAAUACGAUGACUACGUUCCCAGGAAGAAGGUGCCACAGCUCUUCAGGACCACGGUUGGGAGAAAGAAUGGAGGGGUUUUAGAACCUUCAGUGUGCGACUUCAUGUGCCAGUCUUCAUCUCAGGAUCUCAAGCUCUUGGAUCAUGGGCACGGAUAACCUGUUGUCCUCCUCUAUGGUCAAGAGGCUGCUUUUGCAAAGAAUCCAGUGGGAGAGAGUCAAUGGCCUGCUUGACGUGAACUCCAAAGUCCUCCUGGCCAAGGGUCAUCCUGCCUGGAGCAGGGCAAGAGGUGACUUGACCCUUAGGAAGAGUGGCAUCUCUAAUCUUCAACUUCCACCACCACCACACACACAAAUGCAGAGCCACCCAGGAGGAAGUAAAAAGUGCUAGGGCCUUCUACACCUUGAAAUUAUAUGUGGAGCAUCCUGCAAUAAGC